UACGUAGGUGGCAAGCGUUGUCCGGAUUUACUGGGCGUAAAGAGCGCGCAGGCGGUCGUUCAAGUCGAGUGUGAAAGCCCCCGGCUCAACUGGGGAGGGUCACUCGAUACUGAUCGACUUGAAGGCGGGAGGGGGAAGCGGAAUUCCCGGUGUAGUGGUGAAAUGCGUAGAGAUCGGCAGGAACACCCAGGGGGAAACCAGUGGACUGGGCAUGUGCUGACGCUCAGGUGCGAAAGCGUGGGGAGCGAACCGG
rnacentral:rRNA from 1 species